AACAUCUUACUAGAUGUUAUUUAGAUUUAAUCACGCGAUAUAUAAUAAAAUACAGUCGUUGCGUUUACGUUUAUUUAAUACAUUUAAUGAUGAUUAUUGCAUUUCAUUUGGUAGUUUUAAUCUGAAAAAUCCUGAAAAAUUGCCUACUAAUAUAUUGCAAACAGAUUUUUUAACGUAUUAUAAACUGAAAUUUUAGUUAUCAUUCAUAUUGGGUAUGCCGAGUAAAAACGGAAUGUUGAAACGUGAAAAUUAAAGAAAUUGAAAUUAUCGUGUAUCUUUUAUGUAUCCCUCAUACUCGUAUAAGUUAUUUUUUUUUUUGUUUUUUUUUUUUUUGCAAUAUCUCGCCUAUCCCCGCCGAACGUUCCACCUAUAAACCAAUGGGCCACGGGUUUGAUACAAUUAAACCGCCGGAAAUACGCGCGACAAUAU